GACGAACGCUGGCGGCGUGCCUAACACAUGCAAGUCGAGCGGGGAAGAUUGGUAGCUUGCUACUGGUCUUUCUAGCGGCGGACGGGUGAGUAACGCGUGAGCAACCUGCCUCAAACAGGGGGAUAACGCAUCGAAAGAUGUGCUAAUACCGCGUAAGACCACGGGAUCACAUGGUUCUGGGGUCAAAGGAGCAAUCCGGUUUGAGAUGGGCUCGCGUCCGAUUAGCUAGUUGGUGAGAUAACAGCCCACCAAGGCGACGAUCGGUAGCCGACCUGAGAGGGUGAUCGGGCCACAUUGGGAACUGAGAGACGGUCCAGACUCCUACGGGAGCAGCAGUGGGGAAUAUUGGGCAAUGGGCGAAAGCCUGACCCAGCAACGCCGCGUGAGGGAAGAAGGG
rnacentral:rRNA from 1 species